rnacentral:rRNA from 1 species
UACAGAGGUCUCAAGCGUUGUUCGGAUUCACUGGGCGUAAAGGGUGCGUAGGUGGCGGGGUAAGUCUGAUGUGAAAUCUCCGAGCUUAACUCGGAAACUGCAUCGGAUACUGCUUUGCUCGAGGGUUGGAGGGGGGACUGGAAUACUUGGUGUAGCAGUGAAAUGCGUAGAUAUCAAGUGGAACACCAGUGGCGAAGGCGAGUCUCUGGACAUUUCCUGACGCUGAGGCACGAAAGCCAGGGGAGCAAACGGG